rnacentral:rRNA from 1 species
CCCUUAGAUGUCCUGGGCCGCACGCGCGUUACACUGAUGCACUCAACGAGCAUAUAACCUUGGCCGAGAGGCCUGGGUAAUCUUGUUAACAUGCAUCGUGAUAGGGAUAGAUUAUUGCAAUUAUUAAUCUUGAACGAGGAAUUCCUAGUAAUCGCAGUUCAUCAAACUGCAAUGAUUACGUCCCUGCCCUUUGUACACACCGCCCGUCGCACCUACCGAUUGAAUGGUCCGGUGAAGACUCGGGAUUGUGGUUUGGCUCCUUCAUUGGGGCCUGACUGCGAGAACUUGUCUAAACCUUAUCAUUUAGAGGAAGGUGAAGUCGUAACA